GGGAGUGGACAUGUGACUUUAUUUGCAUAAACAGGAAAUUCCCUUUAUCAGUGCAGCUGUCAGUAUAUGAACUAACUCAAGGAUCAUAAGAAAAAUGAGAGACACUCCGAAUCAGAGAAGUAAAUAAAAAUUGUCUCAAGGAUGUGCCUGUGAAAAAAGGAAUGGCACAGUAUGGAGAGAACAUGCAUUCCCUAAAUACUCUUAACAAUUUACCUCCACUCCAAAACAGAAGGCAAAGGUGGUGACAUAUUUGAGAUUAUGUUGCCUAUUUGCAUUCAGCUAAGGUUAUCAUCAAGGAGUUCAGUUUGAUCUGGUUUGAGCAGUGAUUUCCAAAGGUCCACUGUGUAAUUUCUCAUCUA